UACAGAGGUCUCAAGCGUUGUUCGGAUUCAUUGGGCGUAAAGGGUGCGUAGGUGGGUUGGUAAGUCAGUGGUGAAAUCCCCGAGCUUAACUUGGGAACUGCCAUUGAUACUAUCAGUCUUGAAUACCGUGGAGGUCAGCGGAAUAUGUCAUGUAGCGGUGAAAUGCUUAGAUAUGACAUAGAACACCAAUUGCGAAGGCAGCUGGCUACUCGGAUAUUGACACUGAGGCACGAAAGCGUGGGGAUCAAACAGG
rnacentral:rRNA from 1 species